UACGUAGGGCGCAAGCGUUGUCCGGAAUUACUGGGCGUAAAGCGCACGUAGGCGGACAUUUAAGUCAGGGGUGAAAUCCCGGGGCUCAACCCCGGAACGGCCUUUGAUACUGGGUGUCUGGAGGAUGAGAGAGGCGAGUGGAAUUCCGAGUGUAGAGGUGAAAUUCGUAGAUAUUCGGAGGAACACCAGUGGCGAAGGCGGCUCGCUGGCUCAUUUCUGACGCUGAGGUGCGAAAGCGUGGGGAGCAAACAGG
rnacentral:rRNA from 1 species